rnacentral:rRNA from 1 species
AGGUAAUAGAUACCCGGGUAGUCCUGGCCCUAAACGAUGGGCACUAGGUAGCGGCCCCCCAUGGGGCCGCUGCCGGAGCGAAAGGUGUUAAAGUGCCCCGCCUGGGGAGUAUGGUCGCAAGGCUGAAACUCAAAAGGAAUUGACGGGGGCUCACACAAGCGGUGGAGCAUGUGGCUUAAAUUCGAGGCUACGCGAAGAACCUUUCCCGGGCUUGACAUGUGCGAAAGCGUCAGGGAGCACCCCGCGGAAACGCCGGGGGAACGGUAACCAGCCCGGAGCCUGACACAGGUGCUGCAUGGCUGUCGUCAGCUCGUGUCGUGAGAUGUCGGGUUAAGUCCCAUAACGAGCGAAACCCCUGUCUCCAGUUGCCAGCGCGUCACGGCGGGGACUC